AUGGACUUCCUGGUUCUCUUCCUGCUCUACUGGCUUUGGUGCUAGUUGGUUAUGUUAUGACCUGUUUUUGCUAGAAAACUCAUGAUUUGAAAUGCCUGGUCAGGGCAGGGGCACAGAUAUUUUCCUGUAUAAUUCCAGAAUGUCUUCAGAAAGCCAUGUAAAGAUUGCUUCACUACCUCUUCCAUACAUGAAACCAUACCUUCAUUAUCCUUCACCUGGUCUUGCAAGGAAUGGUAAAUACUGAAUAUACCUGGGAAAUACUGGGCUACCGUCAAAAGCUAGUUCUCCUGUAUUACCUUCUUCUGCCCUGUCUGCUUCUGAUUGUAAACCCGUUUAUUUCCACCCUAACUUGUGUAACUGAUUCUGGCAUUAUAAGAAAAGCAAAUGAAUUAUUUCUUCAAGUUUAUGAAUUCAGUGAUGUUUCUAAAGAGGUGAGGUGCUCUACUUAUGAGUUACGAACACCAGCUCGAUCAAAGCACUGACUGCAGUGUGUGCACCGUUUUGACCAUCGUUAGGUUUGGGUGAACAACUGCAUCUGGGCUUGGAACGCCAGUUAUUAAUACUUUCUCAUCUACCUCUUGAUGUUGACGGCUUUGGCUGCUGCCAUGGCCAUUGUGAGCACUGCGUUUCUGGUCGAUUUGGUGGUAUUGUUGGAUUUGUACUAGACUUACACUGAUGACCUUGGACACUUCCAGUUUAUAGACUUGAUUUUUCUUAUUUAGUACCUGUUCCUGACCUUUCUAACAAUUGUCUUCAUGCUGGGGUUGUGGUUGGGGGGACGUUGUAAUGGUCCUGAGCUUUCUCCUGGGUAGCUACCUGUGCUUUGCUCUGUACCUGGUUGCCAUCAACCAGACUACUAAUGAGUGGUACAGAGGUGACUGGGCCCCAUGCCAGCAUUGCCCCCUCAUGGCCUGGCCCCCAUCAGGAAAGCUCCAAAUCUACCAGAACAUUCACUCCCAUGGGCUCUGGAGCAAACUUUGAGAGAUCUUUCUACCUGCCAUUCCAAAUAAUGAGAGAAAGAAGAAACAAGAAUGG
rnacentral:lncRNA from 1 species